rnacentral:rRNA from 1 species
UGACUGUACAAAGGUAGCAUAAUCAAUAGUCUCUUAAUUGGUGACUUGAAUGAAAGAUUGGAUGAAAUAUAUACUGUCUCUUUAAUAAUAAUAGAAUUUAAUUUUUUAAUUAAAAAGUUAAAAUAAAUUUAAAAGACGAGAAGACCCCAUAGAGUUUUAUAUAUUUGUUAAUUAAUAUUAUUUAUAAAUUAAUAAAAUUAAAAUUAAUUUGAUAUAUUAUAUUGGGGUGAUAAAAAAAUUUAUUUAACUUUUUUUUUUAAAUUAACAUAAAUAAGUGACUAAUAAUGAUCUAAAAUUUUUAAUUAUAAGAUAAAAUUACCUUGGGGAUAACAGCGUAAUUUUUUUUUUUAGUUCGAAUAAAAAAAAAAGUUUGCGACCUCGAUGUUGGAUUAAGAUAAAAUUUAAAUGCAAAAGUUUAAAAUUUUGAUCUGUUCGAUCAUUAAAAUCUU